rnacentral:rRNA from 1 species
CCCUUAGAUGUUCUGGGCCGCACGCGCGCUACGCUGACGAAUGCAACGAGCUUAUAACCUUGGCCGAAAGGUCUGGGUAAUCUCCAAAUUUCGUCGUGAUGGGGAUAGAUUAUUGCAAUUAUUAAUCUUCAACGAGGAAUGCCUAGUAAGCGCAAGUCAUCAGCUUGCGUUGAUUACGUCCCUGCCCUUUGUACACACCGCCCGUCGCUCCUACCGAUUGAAUGGUCCGGUGAAGCGCUCGGACCGCGGCCUCUUGACGGUUCGCUGUCGAUUGGCUGUGGGAAGUUCGUUAAACCUUAUCAUUUAGAGGAAGGAGAAGUCGUAACA